rnacentral:rRNA from 1 species
UUAUGGCUCAGGAUGAACGCUAGCGACAGGCUUAACACAUGCAAGUCGAGGGCAGCAUAAAAGUAGCAAUACUUGGUGGCGACCGGCGCACGGGUGAGUAACGCGUAUGCAACCUACCUAUCAGAGGGGAAUAACCCGGCGAAAGUCGGACUAAUACCGCAUAAAACAGGGGCACCGCAUGGUGAUAUUUGUUAAAGAAAUUCGCUGAUAGAUGGGCAUGCGUUCCAUUAGGUAGUUGGUGAGGUAACGGCUCACCAAGCCGACGAUGGAUAGGGGAACUGAGAGGUUGGUCCCCCACACUGGUACUGAGACACGGACCAGACUCCUACGGGAGGCAGCAGUGAGGAAUAUUGGUCAAUGGGCGGGAGCCUGAACCAGCCAAGUCGCGUGAAGGAAGAAGGAUCUAUGGUUCGUAAACUUCUUUUGCAGGGGAAUAAAGUGCAGGACGUGUCCUGUUUUGUAUGUACCCUGAGAAUAAGGAUCGGCUAACUCCGUGCCAGCCGCCGC